rnacentral:rRNA from 1 species
ACGUGAUCUGAGUUCAGACCGGAGUAAUCCAGGUCGGUUUCUAUCUAUAGCAGCACUUUUUCUAGUACGAAAGGACCGAAAAAGUAUGGUCCAUGCUUAAUGUAAACCAUCACUAAUAAACUAUGAUGACAACUCAAUAGUAUAUUAAUCUAUUUUACAUCUCAAGACAAGAGA